rnacentral:rRNA from 1 species
AAGGAUGAAGGCGUUCUGCGUUGUAAACUUCUUUUAUUGGGGAAGAAACCUCUUUUUUCUAAGAGAGCCGACGGUACCCAAGGAAUAAGCACCGGCUAACUCCGUGC